rnacentral:tRNA from 1 species
CCGUCCGUAGCUCAGCUGGAUAGAGUACCUGGCUACGAACCAGGCGGUCAGAGGUUCGAAUCCUCUCGGACGCGCCA